rnacentral:misc_RNA from 1 species
GCCCCACCGUAAAAUAUAUAUUUACACUAUCAACGCCAGGGUAUUACGAGCCUUAGCUUAAAACCCAAAGGACUUGACGGUGUCCCAUCCAACUAGAGGAGCCUGUUCUAUAAUCGAUAACCCCCGAUAUACCCAACCCCCCCUUGCCAACCAGCCUGUAUACCUCCGUCGUAAACUUACCAUAUGAAUGCCAACAGUAAGUUCAAUGAUUUAACACCAAUACGUCAGGUCAAGGUGCAGCUCAUGAUGGGGAAAGCAAUGGGCUACAAUUUCUAAAAUAGAACACACGGAAUGCUGCAUGAAACACAGCCACGAAGGUGGAUUUAGUAGUAAAAAGUAAAUAAAGUGCCCUUUUUAAUAAGGCCCUGGGACGUGUACACACCGCCCGUCACCCUCUUCAACAGCACACAUAUGUUCUUAACAAGUUUUGCUUACCGGAGGUGUACUUGGUUUACAAAGUGUACUUUAACAAAACUCCUCGCUUACAUCGAGAAAUUAUCUGUGCAAAUCAGAUUACUUUGAGCCAAAAAUCAAGCCUAACUACUCUUUUAUAAAAACUACACUCAACUAAGCCACAAUAAAACAUUUUAUUAGUUUAGUAAAGGAGAUUAAAAAACUCUUUAGCGCUUUACUGUUAGUACCGCAAGGGAAAGGUGAAAUAGUUUUGAAAUAGCCUUAAGCAAAAAAAAGCAGAGAUUAUUACUCGUAUUCCAAAAUACACCUUUAACCCUUUAUUCCUACUGAAUGAUUCUAUAUUUAUAUAGAAAUCCCCCUGCUAAAACUAGUAACAAGAAAUUGAUUAUUCUCCAAAAUAUUAGUAUAGGCCAAAAUGGACAAACCAUUGGUUAUUAACGUCAAUAAAAUAAUAUAGUAACUGUACUAGAAAAGCCUAUUAAUUCUCACGUUAACCUUACACAAGUAUAUUUCGGAAGAAUGAAAAGAAGUGAAAGAAUCGGCAAUCCGAUAGC